rnacentral:rRNA from 1 species
CCUACGGGAGGCAGCAGUGAGGAAUAUUGGUCAAUGGACGAGAGUCUGAACCAGCCAAGUAGCGUGAAGGAUGACUGCCCUAUGGGUUGUAAACUUCUUUUAUAAAGGAAUAAAACGAGGCACGUGUGCCUUUUUGCAUGUACUUUAUGAAUAAGGAUCGGCUAACUCCGUGCCAGCAGCCGCGGUAAUACGGAGGAUCCGAGCGUUAUCCGGAUUUAUUGGGUUUAAAGGGAGCGUAGAUGGGUUGUUAAGUCAGUUGUGAAAGUUUGCGGCUCAACCGUAAAAUUGCAAUUGAUACUGGCAGUCUGGAGUACAGUGGAGGGAGGCGGAAGUCGGUGUGUAUCGGUGAAAUGCUUAGAUAUCACGAAGAACCCCGAGUGCGAAGGAAGCUUACUAAACUGUGACUGACAUUGAUGCUCGAAAGUGUGGGUAUCAAACAGGAUUAGAUACCCCUGUAGUC